rnacentral:rRNA from 1 species
ACGGGAGGCAGCAGUGGGGAAUAUUGGGCAAUGGGCGAAAGCCUGACCCAGCGACGCCGCGUGAAGGAAGAAGAUCUUCGGAUUGUAAACUUUAGUCAACAGGGAAGAAACGAAUGACGGUACUUUAGGAGGAAGCUCCGGCUAACUACGUGCCAGCAGCCGCGGUAAUACGUAGGGAGCGAGCGUUGUCCGGAAUUACUGGGUGUAAAGGGAGCGUAGGCGGGACUGCAAGUCAGAUGUGAAAUGCCGGGGCUUAACCCCGGAGCUGCAUUUGAAACUGUGGUUCUUGAGUGAAGUAGAGGCAAGCGGAAUUCCUGGUGUAGCGGUGAAAUGCGUAGAUAUCAGGAGGAACACCGGUGGCGAAGGCGGCUUGCUGGGCUUUUACUGACGCUGAGGCUCGAAAGCGUGGGUAGCAAACAGGAUUAGAUACCCUGGUA